rnacentral:rRNA from 1 species
UCGGGAAUUUUGGGCAAUGGGCGAAAGCCUGACCCAGCAACGCCGCGUGAAGGAUGAAGUAUUUCGGUAUGUAAACUUCGAAAGAAUAGGAAGAAUAAAUGACGGUACUAUUUAUAAGGUCCGGCUAACUACGUGCCAGCAGCCGCGGUCAUACGUAGGACCCAAGCGUUAUUCGGAAUUACUGGGCGUAAAGAGUUGCGUAGGUGGCAUAGUAAGCGGGUAGUGAAAUCGUGUGGCUCAACCAUACAGACAUUAUCUGAACUGCUAAGCUAGAGUAUGAUAGAGGUAACUGGAAUUCCAAGUGUAGGAGUGAAAUCCGUAGAUAUUUGGAGGAACACCGAUGGCGUAGGCAGGUUACUGGAUCAUUACUGACACUGAGGCACGAAAGCGUGGGGAGCAAACGGGAUUAGAUACCCACGUAGUCCCUGAGCGGGCUGGCAAGGCGCAU